AACCCAUGGUGAGGGCACUUUCUCAGUAAGUCCUUUUAUCUCUCCCAUGCAUCGUAAAGUGUUUCUAAAUCCAUCUGCACAAUAGAAGAGAUAUCAUUGCGUAAUUU
rnacentral:snoRNA from 1 species